rnacentral:misc_RNA from 1 species
GGUGAAGAACGUAGCGAAAUGCGAUAAGUAAUGUGAAUUGCAGAAUUCAGUGAAUCAUCGAAUCUUUGAACGCACCUUGCGCUCUUUGGUAUUCCAAAGAGCAUGCCUGUUUGAGUGUCAUGAAAAUAUCAACCUUGACUUGGGUUUUGUGCUCUAGUCUCGGCUUGGAAUUGGGUGCUUGCCGCUUUUACGAGCGGCUCACCUUAAAUGUAUUAGCUGGAUCUGUCUUUGAGACUUGGUUUGACUUGGCGUAAUAAGUAUUUCGCUAAGGACAUUCUUCGGAGUGGCCUCGUUUCUAGGACGCUUGUCCGCUUUCCAAUACAAGUUCCACCUCGUGGACAUGACUUUUUAUUAUCUGGCCUCAAAUCAGGUAGGACUACCCGCUGAACUUAAGCAUAUCAAUAAGCGGAGGA